GGAAGGGAAAAAAACCCAACAAGAGAACUGGGGCAAUCACGCAAGUAGAGCAAUAUAAAGAAAACUAAAGUAAGGAUUUCGAAGCCUAAAAAGAGACAACAAAUCAAACAACAGAGAUACAAGUCACUUUAUGACAAAAUUACUUUGGGAUUUUGCACAACAAAGAGUACAUGCUCAGCAAAGUAAAGGUCUUUUGAGCACAAAAGCCAGAUACCAAGGACAUCACAGUUUUCUCAGGAUCUCUCAGCUCAUGCAGAGCCAGUUCGAAUUGAACCAUCUAUCUACUCCUAAAUAUCUCACAAGAUUUCAGAGUAUAAAAAACUCUGG